GAUGAACGCUAGCGGCAGGCCUAAUACAUGCAAAUCGAAGGAGAAUGUUGGAUUCGUCUGACAUGAAACCGGCGCACGGGUGCGUAACACGUAUGCAACCUACCUUUAACUGGGGUAUAGCUCAGAGAAAUCUGAAUUAAUCCCCCAUAAGACUACGACAUGGCAUCAUGAUGUAGUUAAAGCUCCGGCGGUUAAGGAUGGGCAUGCGGUACAUUAGCUAGUUGGUGAGGUAAUGGCUCACCAAGGCUACGAUGUAUAGGGGGUCUGAGAGGAUGAUCCCCCACACUGGUACUGAGACACGGACCAGACUCCUACGGGAGGCAGCAGUAGGGAAUAUUGGUCAAUGGACGCAAGUCUGAACCAGCCAUGCCGCGUGAAGGAUGAAGGCCCUAUGGGUCGUAAACUUCUUUUAUUAGGGAAGAAAAAACGGGAUGCGUCCUGUACUGACGGUACUUAAUGAAUAAGGAUCGGCUAACUUCGUGCCAGCCGCCGCUGUAA
rnacentral:rRNA from 1 species